ensembl:lncRNA
CUCAGCUAAGUAUCAUGCAUUAGGUGGGCUCAGGUGGUCACUUAUUGGUGCCUGUCAAAGGCAGAAAACAAACUCAACAGUCGUCACAAGGGAGACCAGGCCACUAGAAUAUUGGGACAAGGAGCAGGUCUGAAGCAGGAAAAAGAAGAGGGGUGGGGAGACAGCAAAGCAGGGGACCCCUGGCAGGGGUCGGCUGUCCAUAAAUCCAAGUUUCUCUCCUCGAACCCCACCCCUCUUCCUCCAGUCCGGAAAAGGCUUCCUCCUGGGAGACCCCCAGUGAAAUGAGCUGUUCUUAUCUCCUGAGCCUGGAAAUCCUUUUACUUCUCUUUAACCGGUUCACCAGCACGUGGUCUUCGAUCCCAGCCAGCAACUCCCUCUCAACUUGGGACCCGAACCCAGAGACUGGAAGAGCUGGGAGUUCCACAAGGAUCUGACUAGUAAGGGCUUCUUCCCGGCCUACUUGGUAAAGCCACGUGCUCGCGGCCUCCUAGGGUAGGGGCGUUCUGGAAUGUUGCUGCCCACAGAGCUUUCCCAGGCUUCAGCGCUGCCCUGCGGGCGCACAGACGCGCUCCCGCGGCAGCACACCCACGGGCUCUCCCGAGCGCGUACACGUGCACCCACGCGGAGGCAAGAUCCACACAGCUGCCUCUGUCAGGCAGGCACGCAAGGGGUGUUGUGUUUGAGGUGUAAACGGCUCUCGCUUGUCCUCCGUCUCCUCCUUCCUCUUCUUCCAACCUGUUUCCUCAGGGCUCCGGGUCCAGUCCCGGGUUUAGGAAUCAGCGCCAAACUCCCGGAGGCUUUGUUCAGAAGACGCCUCCUCCCUCCAGGUCCGCGGGCGCCGCGGGUCCCGGGCUCCAGGGCGAGCUCCGCGGAGCCGGGGCGGCGCGGAAGGAUCCGAGUUCCAGAGCUGCAGGCAAACUCGUUCGGGCAGAGGGACUGCGCGGCGACACCUCCGACACCUCCGAAAAAUAGACCAAAGGGACCCCGCGGAGCAGGACAUCGGCGGACACCACCGCGGUCCGGAGGAGUCUGCUUAAAGCCAUCAGCGCCUCCCCAGUGGCUUUCUCUCCAGUGAAAGAAGCCGGUUUCUGACAAGUCCAGGGCAAAGAAAAACCUGCGGCGAACUAAGUCCGGGGACUCUCCGAGAAACAGAGUGCUUCCAUCUUCUCCUCACUUAAAACUUGGCCGCUUCUGGGACUUCACUGAGGGACGGCGGAGUCGCACCAGCGUGGACCACAAGCAGAGGCGAGCGAGCACUGCCAAAUACUUUUGGACGCGGGGGUGGCCCCUUUUUGCUUCAGGAUUGCCCCCUGGCCACCCUUCCCUGCUGAGCUGAUAGGGACGGCUAAAGACCUGGAGAUAAAGUGCCCGGACUGAGAUGAGGAGAGGGAACACUUAAGCCACUGUAAGAAAAGAACUGGGAACAGGGCAAAGUUCAAAUAUUUUCCUGGGUGCUUCUAAAACUAAUUACAGGACUAAUGUCAGAGUUGGACCAAGGCUGAACACCAAAGAAUUGAUGCUUUCCAACUGUGGUGCUGGAGAAGACUCUUGAGAGUCCCUUGGACAGCAAAGAGAUCAAACCAGUCAAUCCUAAAGGAAAUCAACCCUGAAUUUUCACUGGAAGGACUGAUGCUGAAACUGAAGCUCCAGUACUUUGGCCACCUGAUGUGAAGAACUGAUGCAUUGGAAAGAACCUGAUGAAAGACUGAGGGCAGGAGGAGAAGAGGGCAACAGAGGGUGAGAUGGUUGUAUGUCUUCACUGACUCAAUGAACAUGAGUCUAAGCAAGCUCCAGGAGAUAGUGAAGGACAGGGAAGCCUGGCAUGCUGUAGUCUAUGGGGUUGCUAAGAGUUGGGCACGAUUGAGCAGCUGAACAGCAGCAGAAUCUAUGGAAUCAAUUAUGUAUGGCAA